AUUGAACGCUGGCGGCAUGCUUUACACAUGCAAGUCGAACGGCAGCACGGGCUUCGGCCUGGUGGCGAGUGGCGAACGGGUGAGUAAUGCAUCGGAACGUGCCCAUUGUGGGGGAUAACUACGCGAAAGCGUGGCUAAUACCGCAUACGCCCUGAGGGGGAAAGCGGGGGAUUCUUCGGAACCUCGCGCAAUUGGAGCGGCCGAUGUCAGAUUAGCUUGUUGGUGAGGUAAAGGCUCACCAAGGCGACGAUCUGUAGCGGGUCUGAGAGGAUGAUCCGCCACACUGGGACUGAGACACGGCCCAGACUCCUACGGGAGGCAGCAGUGGGGAAUUUUGGACAAUGGGGGCGACCCCUGAUCCAGCCAUGCCGCGUGAGUGAAGAAGGCCUUCGGGUUGUAAAGCUCUUUCAGCCGGGGAAGAAAACGCACUCUCUAAUAUAGGGUGUGGAUGACGGUACCCGGAAGAAGAAGCACCGGCUAACUACGUG
rnacentral:rRNA from 1 species